rnacentral:rRNA from 1 species
AGUAACGCGUGAGGAACCUGCCUUUCAGAGGGGGACAACAGUUGGAAACGACUGCUAAUACCGCAUAACGCAUGGGUAUCGCAUGGUAUCUGUGCCAAAGAUUUAUCGCUGAGAGAUGGCCUCGCGUCUGAUUAGCUAGUUGGUGAGGUAACGGCCCACCAAGGCGACGAUCAGUAGCCGGCCUGAGAGGGUGGACGGCCACAUUGGGACUGAGACACGGCCCAAACUCCUACGGGAGGCAGCAG